rnacentral:rRNA from 1 species
AGCGAACGCUGGCGGCAGGCCUAACACAUGCAAGUCGAACGAAGUCUUCGGACUUAGUGGCGGACGGGUGAGUAACACGUGGGAACGUGCCUUUAGGCUCGGAAUAACUCAGGGAACCUUGUGCUAAUACCGAAUGUGCCCUUCGGGGGAAAGAUUUAUCGCCUUUAGAGCGGCCCGCGUCUGAUUAGCUAGUUGGUGAGUUACAGGCUCACCAAGGCUACGAUCAGUAGCUGGUCUGAGAAGAUGACCAGCCACAUUGGGACUGAGACACGGCCCAAACUCCUACGGGAGGCAGCAGUGGGGAAUCUUGCGCAAUGGGCGAAAGCCUGACGCAGCCAUGCCGCGUGGAUGAUGAAGGUCUUAGGAUUGUAAAAUCCUUUCACCGGUGAAGAUAAUGACUGUAGCCGGAGAAGAAGCCCCGGCUAACUUCGUGCCAGCCGCCGCAGUAACAC